rnacentral:rRNA from 1 species
AAUCAACGCUGGCGGCGUGCCUCAGACAUGCAAGUCGAACGCGAAAGUCUCCUUCGGGGACAAGUAGAGUGGCGCACGGGUGAGUAACACGUAGGUAAUCUACCUUCGGAUGGGAAGUAACAACCGGAAACGGUUGCUAAUACCGCAUGAUGCAGCGGCACCGCAAGGUGACAGUUGUUAAAGAUUUAUUCGCUUGGGGAGGGAGCUUGCGGCAGAUUAGCUAGUUGGUAAGGAAUGGCUUACCAAGGCUACGAUCUGUAACCGGUCUAAGAGGACGGUCGGUCGCACUGACACUGAAUAACGGGUCAGACUCCUACGGGAGGCAGCAGUC